AGGCUGGCCGCCAGAGGCACUAAGGCGGCCGCCUAGUUCCAGCCGCUUAAGCCGGCCUGGGGUUGCCUAGUUACUGCCCAGAGAACAAGGAAGAGGUUAUAAACACAGGCAGACGCUCUGGCAAUCUUUUGUCAAACUCUGUGGUGGCGUUGGCGUCCCAGAGCUCCGGAGUUGCUUACUCUUCCUGUAAGGGCAAUCGGACCCUUUCCGACAUGUGACAUAAUUAUCCCAGCGAUCACUAAAACUGUAAAUCUGGAUGCAAUUAAGAGAGAAAACUCCACACAUUUAUGGAAAUUUAAGCUAUCCCAAAUUUGCAGCUUGCUGCCUUGCUGAGUUGAAAAUGAUUCUUUCCUAGUUCUCUUUGUUUUCUUCCUUUCGUGAAUUGAUUAACACUGAGAGAUUUUGUUUUAAUUAUGUUGGCUAGAGGUUUUUAAUGAUCCUAGUUUUCUGUGUCCAUUUGUUUUCCUAGGUUUGCGGAAUUUGCCACUGCAAUAUCAUUGUGUAGAUAUUCUUUGCUUCAGUGAGAAACUCAGCUCUUUCUACUCUGUGGUUCUCAGCUUUAGCCUGUUGUGCACAUCAAAGAGUUAAUGAAAGCUGUGCUCAUACUUGAUUUUUUUCUUCAUUACUAUUGAAAUAAAGCAUAUCCUUGACCUUGUCUCCAAUCUCUAUUUUCAGGUCUGUUGGGGAUACAUUCCACUAUUGUUUGAUUGAAAUAUCCAUUUCCAACAUUUCUAUUCAUUUGCUUCUUUUUUUCUCUCCACCAAAAAUAAAUAUUUAUAGAACUGUAAAUCAAAAUGAAACAUUUUUCUGUAUGUAUAAAAACAAAAGGAAGCAAACAAAUACAAAAUCUGCAUAUUG
ensembl:processed_transcript